GUGGGAGAAGGAGAGAGGAAUGCUCUAUGAGUUUCAGAGACAUGAGUCCCAAAGGGUGGUUACUCAACUUGGAACUAUAAGAGACCCAUUAAGUGGAUGGCACUGACAGAAUUCUUUAAGCUCAUGAGUUAGGACUUUGUGAGGCAGAGGUUUCUCCAGAGACUUGGUAGGACUUCAAAGAGCUUUCAAGGAAUUGAGGGA
rnacentral:lncRNA from 1 species